GAUGAACACUGGCGGCGUGCCUAAUACAUGCAAGUCGAGCGCAGCGGGGACGGGUGAGUAACACGUAUAUAACCUCCUAUAAUGCUGGGAUAACUUCGGGAAACCGGAGCUCAACCGGAUACUUAUCGUUGGUUCCCCGCUGCAUGAGCUAGUUGGUAAGGUAACGUCUUACCAAGGCAACGAUGCAUAGCCGACCUGAGAGUGUGAUCGGCAACACUGGAACUGAGACACGGUCCAGACUCCUACGGGAGGCAGCAGUAGGGAAUCUUCCGCAAUGGGCGAAAGCCUGACGGAGCAACGCCGCGUGAGUGAUGAAGGUCUUCGGAUCGUAAAACUCUGUUAUUAGGGAAGCGGUACCUAAUCAGAAAGCCACGGCUAACUACGUGCCAGCAGCCGCGGUAAUUC
rnacentral:rRNA from 1 species